rnacentral:rRNA from 1 species
AGAGUUUGAUCCUGGCUCAGAUUGAACGCUGGCGGCAUGCUUUACACAUGCAAGUCGAACGGCAGCACGGGUGCUUGCACCUGGUGGCGAGUGGCGAACGGGUGAGUAAUGCACCGGAACGUACCCAGUAAUGGGGGAUAACACAUCGAAAGAUGUGCUAAUACCGCAUACGCCCUGAGGGGGAAAGCGGGGGAUCGUAAGACCUCGCGUUAUUGGAGCGGCCGAUGCCGGAUUAGCUAGUUGGUGAGGUAAGUGCUCACCAAGGCGACGAUCCGUAGCUGGUCUGAGAGGACGACCAGCCACACUGGGACUGAGACACGGCCCAGACUCCUACGGGAGGCAGCAGUGGGGAAUUUUGGACAAUGGGCGCAAGCCUGAUCCAGCCAUGCCGCGUGAGUGAAGAAGGCCUUCGGGUUGUAAAGCUCUUUCGCAAGGAAAGAAAACUUAUCUACUAA